rnacentral:rRNA from 1 species
UACGUAGGGCGCGAGCGUUGUCCGGAAUUAUUGGGCGUAAAGAGCUCGUAGGCGCCUGUUGCGUCCGCUGUGAAAUCCCAGGGCUCAACCCUGAGCGUGCUUCCGAUACGGGCAGACUAGAGGUAUGCAGGGGAGAACGGAAUUCCUGGUGUAGCGGUGGAAUGCGCAGAUAUCGGGAAGAACACCGGUGGCGAAGGCGGCUCGCUGGGCCAUUGCUGACGCUGAGGCGCGAAAGCGUGGGGAGCAAACAGG